rnacentral:rRNA from 1 species
UACGUAGGGCGCAAGCGUUAUCCGGAAUUAUUGGGCGUAAAGAGCGUGUAGGCGGUUCGGUAAGUCUGUCGUGAAAUCCUGAGGCUCAACCUCGGGCGUGCGAUGGAUACUGCCGGGCUAGAGGGUGGUAGAGGCGAGUGGAAUUCCCGGUGUAGCGGUGAAAUGCGCAGAUAUCGGGAGGAACACCAGUAGCGAAGGCGGCUCGCUGGGCCACACCUGACGCUGAGACGCGAAAGCUAGGGGAGCGAACAGG